CCCAGACUCCUACGGGAGGCAGCAGUGAGGAAUAUUGGUCAAUGGGCUUACGCCUGAACCAGCCAAGUCGCGUGAGGGAAGACUGCCCUAUGGGUUGUAAACCUCUUUUGUCAGGGAGCAAAGGCGUCCACGAGUGGACGAAAGGAGAGUACCUGAAGAAAAAGCAUCGGCUAACUCCGUGCCAGCAGCCGCGGUAAUACGGAGGAUGCGAGCGUUAUCCGGAUUUAUUGGGUUUAAAGGGUGCGUAGGCGGAGUGUCAAGUCAGCGGUAAAAUUUCGGGGCUCAACCCCGUCGUGCCGUUGAAACUGACACCCUUGAGUGAGUGAGAAGUAAGCGGAAUGCGUGGUGUAGCGGUGAAAUGCGUAGAUAUUAGGAGGAACACCAGUGGCGAAGGCGGCCUGCUGGACAGUAACUGACGUUGAGGCUCGAAAGCGUGGGGAGCAAACAGGAUUAGAUACCCGAGUAC
rnacentral:rRNA from 1 species